GGCCGGGGAGCCGCUCGCCGCCAGCUGCCCAGCACAGGUGACUCCGCCGGCGGCGGGAGCGAGGCAGGCGCCUGGGUCCCCUUCGCUUCCCCGCUCCUCGAGGCUCCUGGUGAAUUCGUGCCAGAAGCAUGUCUUGGACCUGAGCCUAUCCUGCUUGCCACCAUGGCUGCUGACAAAGGAGACACAUCAAAAGCAGAGAGAAGAUAAUAAAAUGAAAGAGAUCAGCAACAGAAGACCAGGUGAAGACAAAGACAAAUCUGAAGGAAGAAGGAAGGCAA